CAGACACUCAUACACAUACACAAACACAGGUACACACAGACACAAAAAGACACAUAGAUACGGACACACAAAGAUACACACACUGACACACAGAUACACACACAGACAUACUGACACACAAAUGUACAUACUGACACAGAUAUACAUACUGACACAUACAUACUGACACACAUACAUACUGGCACACAGACAUACAUAUUGAAACAGACAUACACACAUACAUGCUGACACACAGA